rnacentral:rRNA from 1 species
CCUACGGGUGGCAGCAGUGGGGAAUAUUGGACAAUGGGCGAAAGCCUGAUCCAGCCAUGCCGCGUGUGUGAAGAAGGCCUUCGGGUUGUAAAGCACUUUCAGUGGGGAAGAAAGCCUUGGGGCUAAUACCCUCGAGGAAGGACAUCACCCACAGAAGAAGCACCGGCUAACUCCGUGCCAGCAGCCGCGGUAAUACGGAGGGUGCGAGCGUUAAUCGGAAUUACUGGGCGUAAAGCGCGCGUAGGCGGUCUGAUAAGCCGGUUGUGAAAGCCCCGGGCUCAACCUGGGAACGGCAUCCGGAACUGUCAGGCUAGAGUGCAGGAGAGGAAGGUAGAAUUCCCGGUGUAGCGGUGAAAUGCGUAGAGAUCGGGAGGAAUACCAGUGGCGAAGACGGCCUUCUGGACUGACACUGACGCUGAGGUGCGAAAGCGUGGGUAGCAAACAGGAUUAGAUACCCGAGUAGUC